rnacentral:rRNA from 1 species
AUCCGCGUGCAGAGAGCCCUAUGGGUGUAAACGCUUUUGUGCAUGAAGAAUGGUACCCUCGUGAGGGUAUUGACGGUAAUGCGGUGAAUAAGCACGGGCUAACUCCGUGCCAGCAGCCGCGGUAAUACGGAGGGUGCAAGCGUAUCUGGAUUUAUUGGGUUUAAAGGGUGCGUAGGCGGCUAUUUAAGUCAGUGGUGAAAUCCUGCAGCUCAACUGUAGAACAGCCAUUGAAACUGAAUAGCUUGAGUGAUCUUGAGGUAGGCGGAAUGUGUAGUGUAGCGGUGAAAUGCUUAGAUAUUACACAGAACACCAAUUGCGAAGGCAGCUUACUAAACUGUUACUGACGCUGAUGCACGAAAGCGUGGGGAGCGAACAGGAUUAGAUACCCUGGUAGUCCACGCCGUAAACGAUGAUUACUCGCUGUUGGCGAUACACAGUCAGCGGCUAAGCGAAAGUGAUAAGUAAUCCACCUGGGGAGUACGAUCGCAAGAUUGAAACUCAAAGGAAUUGACGGGGGCCCGCACAAGCGGAGGAGCAUGUGGUUUAAUUCGAUGAUACGCGAGGAACCUUACCUGGGCUCGAACGUAGUGUGACUAAGUGUGAAAGCAUUUAUUUCUUCGGAACAGACUACGAGGUGCUGCAUGGUUGUCGUCAGCUCGUGCCGUGAGGUGUUAGGUUAAGUCCUGCAACGAGCGCAACCCCUAUUCUUAGUUGCCAGCAUGUUAUGAUGGGGACUCUAAGAAAACUGCCUACGCAAGUAGUGAGGAAGGCGGGGAUGACGUCAAAUCAGCACGGCCCUUACGUCCAGGGCUACACACGUGCUACAAUGGCCGGUACAGAGGGCAGCUACAUAGUGAUAUGAUGCGAAUCUCGAAAGCCGGUCUCAGUUCGGAUUGGAGUCUGCAACUCGACUCCAUGAAGUUGGAUUCGCUAGUAAUCGCGCAUCAGCCAUGGCGCGGUGAAUACGUUCCCGGGCCUUGUACACACCGCCCGUCAAGCCAUGGAAGCUUGGGGUACCUGAAGUCCGUGACCCACAA